UCUGCCUGUAAGAUUUAGUGGAGAUGGAUUUGUCACUUCUUUUCUUGGUGACCCUCUUCUUUUUAAUUGAAGAGUCCUGUGGAGAUAUCAUCAUGACUCAGUCUCCUUCAAGUCUGUCUACACGACCAGGAGAAACUGUCAAGAUGAACUGUAAAGCCAGCAGCUCCAUUACUAGUGGCAGCUAUAACUACCUGGCCUGGUAUCAGCAAAGAGCAGGAGAAGCUCCAAAACUUCUGAUCUACGCGUCAAGCACUCUGCAGUCUGGGAUCUCAAGUCGCUUCAGUGGCAGUGGCUCAGGACUUGAUUACACGCUGACCAUCAGUAACGUGCAGGCAGAAGAUGCAGGACAUUACUACUGUAUGCAGAGCCACAGCACUCCUCUCACACAGUGA